rnacentral:rRNA from 1 species
GACGAACUCUGGCGGCGUGCCUAACACAUGCAAGUCGAACGGAGUUGAAAGGAGCUUGCUUUUUUCAACUCAGUGGCGGACGGGUGAGUAACGCGUGAGUAACCUGCCUUUCAGAGGGGGAUAACGUUCUGAAAAGAACGCUAAUACCGCAUAAGAUUGUAGCUUCGCAUGGAGCAGCAAUCAAAGGAGCAAUCCGCUGAAAGAUGGACUCGCGUCCGAUUAGAUAGUUGGCGGGGUAACGGCCCACCAAGUCGACGAUCGGUAGCCGGACUGAGAGGUUGAUCGGCCACAUUGGGACUGAGACACGGCCCAGACUCCUACGGGAGGCAGCAGUGAGGGAUAUUGGGCAAUGGGGGAAACCCUGACCCAGCAACGCCGCGUGAGGGAUGACGGUUUUCGGAUUGUAAACCUCUGUCCUCUGUGAAGAUAGUGACGGUAGCAGAGGAGGAAGCUCCGGCUAACUACGUGCCAGCAGCCGCGGUAAUACGUAGGGAGCAAGCGUUGUCCGGAUUUACUGGGUAUAAAGGGUGCGUAGGCGGAUUGGCAAGUCAGAAGUGAAAUCCAUGGGCUUAACCCAUGAACUGCUUUUGAAACUGUUAGUCUUGAGUGAAGUAGAGGUAGGCGGAAUUCCCGGUGUAGCGGUGAAAUGCGUAGAGAUCGGGAGGAACACCAGUGGCGAAGGCGGCCUACUGGGCUUUAACUGACGCUGAGGCACGAAAGUGUGGGUAGCAAACAGGAUUAGAUACCCUGGUAGUCCACACUGUAAAC